GCUUCAAUGGUCUAGUGGUAUGAUUCGCCCUUAGGGUAUGUGCACUAUCUUGGGCGAGGCCCCAGGUUCAAUCCCUGGUUGGAGCC